rnacentral:misc_RNA from 1 species
AACGCACAUUGCGCCCUUUGGUAUUCCGAAGGGCAUGCCUGUUCGAGCGUCAUUAUCACCCCUCAAGCCCCGUGCUUGGUGUUGGAUGGCCGGUCGAGCGAUCGACCCCUCCGAAAGACAAUGACGGCGGCCUGUGGUUCCCCCGGUACACUGAGCUUCUCAUCGAGCACGUAUCGGACAAGGGCGCUCGGGACCCGGUCCUCUCCUUUCACAAGGAAACUUCCAUGGUUGACCUCGGAUCAGGUAGGAAUACGCGCUGAACUUAA